GACGAACGCUGGCGGCGUGCCUAAUACAUGCAAGUAGAACGCUGAAGAGAGGAGCUUGCUCUUCUUGGAUGAGUUGCGAACGGGUGAGUAACGCGUAGGUAACCUGCCUUGUAGCGGGGGAUAACUAUUGGAAACGAUAGCUAAUACCGCAUAACAAUGGAUGACACAUGUCAUUUAUUUGAAAGGGGCAAUUGCUCCACUACAAGAUGGACCUGCGUUGUAUUAGCUAGUAGGUGAGGUAACGGCUCACCUAGGCGACGAUACAUAGCCGACCUGAGAGGGUGAUCGGCCACACUGGGACUGAGACACGGCCCAGACUCCUACGGGAGGCAGCAGUAGGGAAUCUUCGGCAAUGGGGGCAACCCUGACCGAGCAACGCCGCGUGAGUGAAGAAGGUUUUCGGAUCGUAAAGCUCUGUUGUAAGUCAAGAACGAGUGUGAGAGUGGAAAAUUCACACUGUGACGGUAGCUUACCAGAAAGGGACGGCUAACUACGUGCCAGCAGCCGCGGUAAUACGUAGGUCCCGAGCGUUGUCCGGAUUUAUUGGGCGUAAAGCGAGCGCAGGCGGUUUGAUAAGUCUGAAGUUAAAGGCUGUGGCUCAACCAUAGUUCGCUUUGGAAACUGUCAAACUUGAGUGCAGAAGGGGAGAGUGGAAUUCCAUGUGUAGCGGUGAAAUGCGUAGAUAUAUGGAGGAACACCGGUGGCGAAAGCGGCUCUCUGGUCUGUAACUGACGCUGAGGCUCGAAAGCGUGGGGAGCGAACAGGAUUAGAUACCCUGGUAGUCCACGCCGUAAACGAUGAGUGCUAGGUGUUGGAUCCUUUCCGGGAUUCAGUGCCGCAGCUAACGCAUUAAGCACUCCGCCUGGGGAGUACGACCGCAAGGUUGAAACUCAAAGGAAUUGACGGGGGCCCGCACAAGCGGUGGAGCAUGUGGUUUAAUUCGAAGCAACGCGAAGAACCUUACCAGGUCUUGACAUCCCGAUGCUAUUUCUAGAGAUAGAAAGUUACUUCGGUACAUCGGUGACAGGUGGUGCAUGGUUGUCGUCAGCUCGUGUCGUGAGAUGUUGGGUUAAGUCCCGCAACGAGCGCAACCCCUAUUGUUAGUUGCCAUCAUUCAGUUGGGCACUCUAGCGAGACUGCCGGUAAUAAACCGGAGGAAGGUGGGGAUGACGUCAAAUCAUCAUGCCCCUUAUGACCUGGGCUACACACGUGCUACAAUGGUUGGUACAACGAGUUGCGAGUCGGUGACGGCAAGCUAAUCUCUUAAAGCCAAUCUCAGUUCGGAUUGUAGGCUGCAACUCGCCUACAUGAAGUCGGAAUCGCUAGUAAUCGCGGAUCAGCACGCCGCGGUGAAUACGUUCCCGGGCCUUGUACACACCGCCCGUCACACCACGAGAGUUUGUAACACCCGAAGUCGGUGAGGUAACCUUUUGGAGCCAGCCGCCUAAGGUGGGAUAGAUGAUUGGGGUG
rnacentral:rRNA from 1 species